rnacentral:lncRNA from 1 species
UAAAGAUUUAAGAGAAUAACAAUAAGGUAAAAUUUAACAAAAUAUUUGUGAUAACUACAAUGUUUUCUAAUUCCAUAAAAGGAAAUUGCCUAAACCAACAAUGUACAGCUCAAGUUUUCCGACAACUUACCAACCUUUUUAAAGCAAAUGAUACACUCAGCUACUGAGAGCACCCUUCCGAAGAUACAUAGACAAUUCCAAAAUAAUAACAAGGAUUACUUAUUUGACAGAUUCAAGCAGAGUACAGUGCAUACUUUAGGAGACGGAAGGUUUAGGGUAAGUGCUAGACUGAAAAGGAAAGAAAUGCUAAACUACCCCAUGACAUUCUUGUCAGAAUACUUUCAAGAUUACCUAUCAAGCCUCUCGGCCACUUCAAUGUUUGUAAGCCAUGGUGAUCUUUGAUAGCGGAUCCCCCUUUGUUAACUUGUAAUAUGAAUCCUUGUGAUGUUAAGAAGUGAAAAUAAGUGAUUCAAACCAUGUGAGGAGAAGUAAAACUACAACUUAGAUAGCUGGAAAUAACUCCAUGAGAUAAUUAAAUAAAUAACGACCACUAAGCAAUGAAUGUUACAUGAAGCAAUGUAAGAGUAAAACAUAUUCAAACCAUCACUUCUAUUUUUUUAUUUUUUUGACCCCUCAACAUUUUAGUUUGAAGUAUUUGACACAUUUACAAAACAGAACUCUGUCCCACAUCGACAAAAUAUUAGCUCAUAAACCUCCGUAUAAGCAUAGAUCCAUAAUCCUAUGCUAAGUGGUUGGUUAGGUCGGCUGCCACGUUCCACGUUCACAAAAACUGGUGGUUGCCACCGUCAAACGAAAAAAAUAUCAAAAAUCCAAAAACGUCGACCUACCCAACCACUUUUUAGUUUUUUGAAAAGAAUAAAAUUAGAUCAGAAUAUUUCACUAGUAUAGAGAAUAAAAUUUAAGAAAAAUAGAUAAUGUAAGAAAUGAGGCUGAGAAAUCCUAGAAGAGAGUAACAAAGGACCAAGUCCUAAACCAUUUGAAGAUCUAAACCAUAAAACAAUCCUCCUUCCAACCCUUCUAAAAAUAGUAAAAGCACAUCAUUAACUAAGAAAAAAUAUUUUUUCACAUAACAGAAAAGGAAAACUACAACCUCUAAAAAGGAAAUUAUGCAUAAUAUACUUCAUGCUUUUCAUAAAUGCUAGAACUAUUUAACAUAUAAUUGGGGCUAAGUGAUACAAAAGAUUAUAGACAUCUGCAUACCCUGGAAUAAUGUUUUCGUCUUUCACCAAAUAAUAUGGAAGUUUACUUGCAGUCAACAACAACAGCUAGACCAUUGAGAAAAAUUAUAAUAAAUACCGGUCUUCUCAUUAAGAGGUAUAGAGGGAGAAACUGAGAGGAAUCAAACAAGAAGACUAAAAGGUAGCCCCCUUUAUCUUUUACCCCCAUAUAGUAAAGAAAUGUAGUAGUUAAGAACAGUGUUGAUUAUAAACCAUUAUUUAACAUUGUAGCUUAAUUUAACAACAUCAAGUACCUGUCCUUAUUGUUUCCCACUCAUCAAUUUUUGAAUUGGACAUUAUCGUAUUUUUAGUUUCUGAAAAUACUAGAAUAGUAUAACACUAGUUUUCCUCAAACUGGCUGUUAUAUUUGGCAACCAUAAAAAUGUACAAGAAAAUAUGUAUAAAAUCGAACUGCUUUACUCUUUGUUCCACAUCGACAACAUAUUAUUUCAUAAACCUACUUACAAGCAUAGAUCUGUAGAUCUGUAAUCCCAAGCUUCAUGGUUAGUUAGGUCAUCUUCCACAGUCCACCUUCUAAAAACUGGUGGCUGCCACUGUCGAACAAAAAUAUAUAUAAACCAAAAAAACGCCAACCUACCUAAGCACAUUUUGAAAAGAAGGAAAUAGGAGAAGAAUAUUUCACUAGUAUAUACCUAAUUAAAAUCUAUGUAGUUAUCCUGCAUAAUCUUUUUGUAUAGAAGAAGAAAAUUCAAAAUUUUAAGAAAUGAGGUUGAGAAAUCCACUUAAAACCAAAAAGUGGAGAAAAAUUAAGAACAUAAUAGACGAAUGACAUCUAAGCCUUAAGAAUAUCUGAAAAAUAAACCCCUCUCCCCNNNNNNNNNNNNNNNNNNNNNNNNNNNNNNNNNNNNNNNNNNNNNNNNNNNNNNNNNNNNNNNNNNNNNNNNNNNNNNNNNNNNNNNNNNNNNNNNNNNNNNNNNNNNNNNNNNNNNNNNNNNNNNNNNNNNNNNNNNNNNNNNNNNNNNNNNNNNNNNNNNNNNNNNNNNNNNNNNNNNNNNNNNNNNNNNNNNNNNNNNNNNNNNNNNNNNNNNNNNNNNNNNNNNNNNNNNNNNNNNNNNNNNNNNNNNNNNNNNNNNNNNNNNNNNNNNNNNNNNNNNNNNNNNNNNNNNNNNNNNNNNNNNNNNNNNNNNNNNNNNNNNNNNNNNNNNNNNNNNNNNNNNNNNNNNNNNNNNNNNNNNNNNNNNNNNNNNNNNNNNNNNAAAUUAAAACAUAGCAAAAACAUAGUUAUUCAAGGAAACAAGGCUUACCAAGACACAAAGGACUUCCCAGAGCUUAGGUUCAAGGCGAGGCGUGCGCCUCAUCGAAGUGCGGAACACAACCUCCAACGAUAUAUGUAUAUGUAUAUGUAUAUGUACAUGUAUAUAUGGGUGUCGUAUUUGUAACAAUAAAGUAUGUUAUGAUAUAAAUCAUUAAAUUGACAGCAUAUUGUAUAAAUACACACUAAAACAGAAGAAAGAAGAAAAUUGGGGGAAGAAAAAGAGGAGGGCGAAGAGUGGGGUUAAGAAGAAAGAAGAAACAAAGGGGAAGAAAAAAUUGAGGAAAAAAAAGGUUAAGAAAAACAAAGCAAGAAAAAUGGGGAAGAAAAGAGAUGAAGUAAAAAGCUAAGAAAAAAGAUGAAGAAAUGGGAGGAGGAAAAAACAGGGUAAGAAACCAAAAUGAAAAAAAUAUUACCUAGAGGCUUGUUCUAAUAGACUUCAUUAAGGCACGUUGUGCCUUGCACCUCAGGCCUAAGCCCAAAAUGCGCACCUCUUUGAACAUGCCUUGCUUAGCCGUGACAGAGUGCACCUCGCCAUGCCAUGCAUGGGCCUAGAAGUGUACCUUUAACAACUAUGAGCAAAAGCACAUCAUUUAUCAAGAAAAGUAAAUUCUCCCACAACAAAUGGAAAGGCAAACAACCUUUGGAAAGGAAUCCUAGAUAAUCCAUUUUCAGAAUUUUCAUAAAAGCUGGAACUGUUCAACAUAUAAUUGGGGCUAAGCGACGUUUUUGUCAUAUAAUAGGAAGUUUACUUAUAUUCAGAUUCCAACAUAAUAAUAUAUGAAAAGAAUAGGAAAAAAAGGAGAUUUGAAAAGUGAUGAAAAAAUCAGUACCAUAAUUUGAAUCCUAGUAUUAUAAUAUAUGAUUUAAAACUUGUGAUAAGGAUUACUAUGGAACUCUAAUUCCCGUGUUCCGCAAACCUGGUACCAUCAUUUCAAAUCGUGCUAUGAGAACAAAAUGUCUUGUGCACUCUACCAUAAAUCAUGUUCUGCCGUCCGCUUCCGCGUACCCAUUUCCAUUACGCGCUCACAGUCGACAAGCAUUCCUGGUAACCAUGCUUGUGAUAUUAAUGAUAGCUAGAAAUAAUUCAUUGAGAAAAGAUAAAUGGUUACUGAGAAGUGAAUACUAAAUGAAGGUAUGUAAAUAAAACAUGAACUAUCACUACAACUUUAUUGUUUUGUCACUUCAAAAUUUAGUUUGGAGUAUAGACACUUGUGCUAUUUGAAUAUAAUACAUAGCUCCAGCAACAACUAGACCAUUAAGAAAAAUAUAGUCAACACUGCUCUUGCCAGUAAGACAUAGAGAAAGAAACUGAGAGGAAUUAAAAGAAGAAGAAUAAAAGGUGUCCACUUCAACUUUUACCCUCAUAUAAUAAAGAAUAUGUAAUAGUUAAGAAUAGGGGUUGAUUAUAACAUUACUAUUUGGUGAUUUAUUUGCUUAUAAUAUCAUGCUAGUAAUCAAGAAGGCCGUGUCUAACAAGGGAUAACAUUUCUAGCUUUGUUUACCAAAUAUCAAGCACUUUUCCUUAUUGUCUACAACUCAAAUCUAUUUGCGAAUCAGACAUAAUCUUGUUUCUUAGUUUCCAUUAAUAAUAUAAAAGUAUAACGCAAGUGUUCCCAACUUGCUCUUAGUUUUGGCAACCACAAAAAUUACAAGGAAAGACAUACAAAACAGAACUCGUAAUCUUUGUCCCACAUCGACAACAUGUUUAGCUCAUAACCUCCUUAUAAGCAUAGAUCCAUAAUCCUAAACUAAGUGGUUGGUUAGGCCGGCUGCCACGUUCCACUUUCGAAAAAUCACACGAAAAAAAAUACAGAGAAAAUCCAAAAACGUCGACUUACCCAACCACUUUUUGGAAUAAAGUAAAAUAGUCUGAACCCUCUGAAGAUCUAAAUAACAACCCACCCACCCUCGCUGUCCCGCCCUCUCCUCCCAAUCCUUAACCAAGAAAAAUAAUUUUUUCCUCAUAACAACUGAAAAGACAGACUACAACCUCUGAAAUUAAAUCUGAAUAACCUCGUUUCAUGCUUAUAAUAAAUGCUAAAACUUUUUAACUCAUAAUUAGGGCUAAAUGAUACAAAAGAUUAUACACAUCUGUAUACUGUCGAUUAUAUAAGUUUACUUGCAAUCAACAAAAACAACUAGAUCAUUGAGAAAUGUAUACCCCACUUAGCAUUAAUUAGAGGUAUAGAGAGAAAUUCAAACAAGAAGAAUAAAAGGCGGCCACUUCAUCUUUUACCCUCAUACAAUAAACAAAAUUUAGUGCUUAAGAACAACGGUUCAUCAUUAUUUGGUAAUUUAUUUUCAUAUAAUUAUCAUGCUACUAUGCUAGUGAUCAAGAAGGUUAUGUUGUAUAAGUGGUAAACAAACACCAAAUACUUUUCUUUAUGGUUUGCAACUCAAAUCUAUUUAAGAAUCACACAUAGUCUUGUUUCUUAGUUUCCAUAAAUACUAUAAUAGCUAUAACACGAGUGUUCCUCAACAUACUUCUAUUUUUCGCAACCCCAAGAAUGUACAUGAGAACUCCCCUACUCUUUGUCCCACGUUGACAACAAAUUUGCUCAUAAACCUCCUUAUAAGCAUAGAUCUGUAAUCCUAAGCUGAGUGGUUGGUUAGGCCGUCUGCCACGUUCCACAUCCAAAAAACUGGUGGCUGCCACCAUCGAAUAGAAAAAAUAGAAAAUUCCAAAAACGGCGACUUACCCAACCACUUUUUGAAAAAAUAAAAUAGGAGAAGAAUAUUAAACAAGUAUAUUCCUAAUUCAAAUAUAUGUAGGUAUUCUUGCAUAAUCUUUUUGAUUAAAAGAGAAAAUUUUAGCAGGAAAUAUAGAUGAUACAAGAAACUAAGCUGAGAAACCAUCUUAGAAUUAUGAAACGUAUCUCUUUAUUUACCAAAACUAACUAUCAAAGAAAUCCUCGUAAAACCCAAAAUUGGAGAAAUAUUAAGAGUGAAAGAAAGGACGAACAUUUAUAAUUAUAUAAAACACAACCCCUUCCCUCAACGUCUUAAAAAAAAUUGCACUUCACAUCACUCAUCAAGAAAAUUAUUUCUCUCCAAAACAACUGCAAAGUCAAGCUACAACUACAGUGUUUUUCCUCGACGAUAAAUUCUUCUAUGGAUUUGGCUAUGAUUCAUCGAUUGAUGACUACAAAGUUGUCCGAGCCCACAAGUAGAGACUCUUGAUGAAACCAAAGUUGAGGUAUUUAAUCUGAAAGAUAACUCUUGGAGAUUAAUGGAAGGAUUCGAUAAUCAAAUAGGAAUUAAACAAGAGGCUGGAAUCUCUUCAUUAGCAAGGAAGUCGAAUUGGUACAGAUUCUACUAAACAUAAGGUCAUUGUUUUUCUUGAUUUGGCAACUGAGAAAUUCGGAGAAUUCUCAAAGCCUAAUCUUGAUGAUAAGAAUGUUGUAGAAUUUCGUACUUUAUCGAACUUGGGAGAAUGCAUUUCUUUACUUUGCUAUGGCAAUCGGGGCGCUAAUGUUGAGGUAUGGAUAAUGAAAGAAUAUGGGUUGAUGCAUCUUCGAGUAAGUUGAUAAUCUCGAGACGGAUUGAGUUCGAGUACAUCUAUUACUUGAUACCAGUUUAUUUUAUCAAGAAUGGUGAACUUAUAGUUGAUGUUGAUGGAAAUAAACUAGUAAGGUAUGAUCCUAAGGAAAAUACAUAUAGGAACUCAAGUAUCCAUGUGAAGAUUGGGACCGGACUGAAUACGUAGAGAGUUUAAUCUCUCCCAUGGCUAACAAUUGAGAGAUUAAUUGAAGGAAAGAAUGAUAGGAAACUCUCAGGGGAACUAAAGUGUUAUAUUUUGUAAUUCUAAUUCAACAGCAGCCAAUUAUUCUAAGUUAUAACAUUAGCUACUUUACUACUUCAUACACUACAUAAUGAAAGAAUCCAACUAAAGAUUUAAGAGAAUAACAAUAUGGUAAAAUCCAACAAAAUACUUGUAAGAACUACAAAGUUUCCCCAUUCCUACAAGGAAAUUGCCUAAACCAACAAUGUACAACUCAAGUUUCCAACAACUUAUGAACCUUUUCAAAAGUAAAUGAUAUACUCAACUACAUAUAAAUAACAUUUGCUUAUUUGGCUCGUACGAAGAGCACCCUUCAGAAGAUACAGAUACAUAGACAAUUCGUACCCUUUAGAAGAUACAUAGACAAUUCCACAAUAAUAACUAGAAUUACUUAUUUGACAAAUAAAAGUAUAGUACGCUGCACACUUUAGGUCCUUCAAGAAGAUAAUGUCAAAUAAGUAGUAAACGAGCAUCAAAUACUUUACCUUAUGGUUUGCAACUCAAAUCUAUUUAAGAAUCACACAUAGUCUUGUUUCUUAAUUUCCAUAAAUACUAUAAUAGCAUAACACAACUACACAAGUGUUCCUCAAACAUACUCCUACUUUUCACAACCGCAAGAGUGUACAUGAAAAGAUGUUCAACAUAGAACUCCCUUACUCUUUGUCCCACAUCAACAACAUAUCUGCUCAUAAAUCUCCUUAUAAGCAUAGAUCCAUAAUCCUAAGCUGAGUGGUUGGUUAGGUCGUCUGCCACGUUCCACAUCCAAAAAAACUGGUGGCCGCCACCAUCGAACGAAAAAAAAAUAGAAAAUUCCAAAAAGGCGACUUACCCAACCAAUUUUUGAAGGAAAAAAAACUAGGAGAAGAAUAUUAAACCAGUAUAUUCCAAAUUCAAAUCUUUGUAGAUAUUCUUGCAUAAUCUUUUUGAUUAAAAGAAGAAAAAUUUAGCCAGAAAAAUAGAUGAUAAAAGAAACUAAGCUGAGAAAUCAUCUUAGAAUUAUGAAACGUAUCUCUUUAUUUUACCAAAACUAACUAUCAAAUAAAUCCUCGUAAAACCCAAUAUUGGAGAAAUAUUAAGAGUGUACCAAAGGACAAACGUCUAUAAUGUUAUGAAACACAACCCCCUCCCUCAAUCUCUUAAAAAAAUUGCAAUUCACAUCAUUCAUCAAGAAAAGUAUUUUCUCCAUAACAACUGCAAAGGCAAACAACAACCAUAAAAAACAAAUCACACAUACCUUGUUUCAUGAAUUUUAUAAAUGUUAUAACUGUUUAAUAUAUAAUUGGGGCUACGGGAAAUAAAAGACUACAAACAUCAGCAUACCGUGGUACAAUGCUUUUGUCAAAUAAUAUGGAAGUUCACUUGCAAUCACAUUUCAACACAAUGAUAUUCGAAAAGUGAAAAAUCCAUUUCCAUAACUUGAAUCCUGAUAAAAAGAACAAGAAGAAAAAUAAGAGAAAGGUGGUCGCUUCAUCUUUUACCCUUGUAUAAUAAAAAAACAUAGUAGUUCAGAACACAGGUUGAUUAUAAAUUUGCUAAUUUAUUUGCAUAUACUAAUAUUGUCAUGCGAGUAAUCAAUAAGUUAUGUCAAACAAGUAAUAACAUUGUUAGAUUCAUUUACCAACAUCGUGUACUUUUCCUUAAUGUUUCCUACUCUGAUCUUUAUAAGAAUAAGACGUAAUCUUAUCUCUUAGUUACUAUGAUGGUAUAACACAUGUAUUCCUCAAACUUGCUCUUACUUUAGCAACCAAAUUAAUGUUAAAUGAAAAGAUGUACAAAACCAAACUCCCUUUCUCUUUGUUCUUCAUCGACAACGUAAUAGCUCAUAAACCUCCUUAUGAGUAUAAACCCAUAGUCCUAAGCUUAGCAGUUGGUUAACCAUUUUCCACGUUCCACAUUCUAGAAACCUGGUGGCUGCUACCGUCAAAUGAAAAAUAAAUAAAUAAAUAGUUAAAAAGCGCAAAGUCCACCUACUAACCUAACCACUUUUCAAAAGUACAAUUAGGGUGACUAUUUGACUAGCAUAUAUAGUUGUCAUGCUCAUAACCAAGUGUGAUGAUAUAUUGCCAAAUAAUUAGAUCAUUAGCAUCAUUUACUCACAACAGGUAUAUUUAUUGUUCCCAAAUUGUUAUUUAGCUAAUCAUUUGUUUGUAUUUAAUGUAUAUCUUUUAAUUAUUGUAGUAGGUUAUUUUAGAUUAGCAUUAGGAGUUGUUUCCUUAUUAAAUUAGGUUAUUUAAAUUUUAGUAUAAUUAGGGUCAGUAGUCUACAUAAAGUGAUGUAAUUUAUUGUUAAAAGACAGAAUUUAGUAUACUGAUUGAUUUGAGAUUGGCUUUCGCCUUUGGGCCUUAUUGUUCUUCCUUUUUUCCCUUAUUUCUACUCAUUUACCCAAUCCAAAAACCCUUCUCAUCCUACAUCAAAGCUUUCCCUAAUAAGUUAAUGAAAAUAAAAACACUGCUCAUAUUCUCUAUGUGCAUGGAUUUGUGGAGUGACAAUUUCAUUUUUACCUUCUUUCACAUAUCCAUUUGUUCUAAAUUAUAGGACCAAUAUUGACUUUUCGAAGUCAAUUUGAGAUAUUUUCAUAUUCAAACUUGAUAUGAAUUCUUAUAUUUUUAGAAAACACAAUUAUAAAAGGGAAAAUGAUAUUUACACGUGUUUUUGUUAGUUCCGCAGGUCCCCCUCUCACAUGAAAGUGGGACCCACACCAUUCUAAUGUGAGAAGAGACCAUGUGAAACCAACAAAAGUACAUGUAAAAAUAGUUUGCUCCCCUGUUAAAAUUGUAUACUAUGUAAAAACUGCUAGUAAUUACAACAUUUAGUAUUUUCAAAAGUAAAAUGAAUUACAACAAUUUGAAUUUGAAAAUAUCUCGUAUUGACUUUAAACUUGAUUUUAUAUUUUGGAGUGGAAGGAAUAUAUUUUUUGUGUUUAUCACGCAGCCACGAACAUAUGGUUCAAUUCAAUCAACCCAAAAUCUUAUAUUCUACAUACUAUUUAUCUUCUACUUGAGUUGCUCUCAAAUCAUACUAAUUAGCUCCACCAAGUGAGGUAAAAUUUUAUAAUCUGUAAGAUGAAAAAAAUUCUAGGAAAUGGAAUGGAAAAGGAAAUUAGGGUUUAGUUUCUUCACAUAAUUUGUAAAUUGAAAAAAAAAAAUCCUUAAUGACAGUCGUACCCUAACCAGUCGACAAACAAGCACAAUUGAGAAAGAAACAAUGGCAACAGACUGCUACAAUAAACAACAAGAUUUCAAUUUGCAAAAUGGGAAAUGUGAGAAAUUCAAUAUAUAAAUUAUGACGCAUCUGAUAAUAAGUAUUUGAUACAAGGAUUGUUAAUUUCGGUAUCAUAUAUAUAUAUAUAUAUAUACAAGCACUUAUUGCUACAAACUAUAAAAUGAAGUUUAUACGAGUAUUUUUAUACCUUGAUGGCGGUAAAUGAGAAGUCCAGCCAGUGGAGGGGAAGAAACAUGGUCUAGCCAUUAGAUGGGAAGAAGAGAUUCCGACGUCUGUGGUGUACAGGUGUUGUUUCCUUCUCAUGUGCCUUAAUUCAUCUUAACAUCGUAAUGCAUGAUGCACAUUUUU